rnacentral:rRNA from 1 species
GAUGAACGCUGGCGGCGUGCUUAACACAUGCAAGUCGAACGGAAAGGCCCCAGCUUGCUGGGGUACUCGAGUGGCGAACGGGUGAGUAACACGUGGGUGAUCUGCCCUGCACUUUGGGAUAAGCUUGGGAAACUGGGUCUAAUACCGAAUAUGACCACUUCUUGGAUGUUGUGGUGGAAAGCUUUUGCGGUGUGGGAUGAGCCUGCGGCCUAUCAGCUUGUUGGUGGGGUAAUGGCCUACCAAGGCGGCGACGGGUAUCCGGCCUGAGAGGGUGUACGGACACAUUGGGACUGAGAUACGGCCCAGACUCCUACGGGAGGCAGCAGUGGGGAAUAUUGCACAAUGGGCGCAAGCCUGAUGCAGCGACGCCGCGUGGGGGAUGAAGGCCUUCGGGUUGUAAACUCCUUUCGCUAUCGACGAAGCCACUUGUGGUGACGGUAGGUAGAUAAGAAGCACCGGCUAACUACGUGCCAGCAGCCGCGGUAAGAC